UUUAAACUCUGUGAAAUGGACAUGAGUGCAUUCACCCCCAUGUCAGGAUAUAUUCAGUGUAGCACAGAGGGAGGGUGUGUGUAAGCCUGAAGUAUUCUACAGGGAUGGCUGUGCUAAUCUGGGGAGUGCCUGCUCUGUUUCUAGAGCUAACUCUCUGCACCUGGUACCCCAAUCAACGCUUGUAAAACUAUCCUUCACUAUGCCAUACUUCUGCCUGCAGCAAUAUGAAUAGGAAUCAGCUCUCAGCUUCUGAUAAACCCAGCGACUCAUUGUCCAGCUUCCUGUUCCUGAUAUGCAGAACACAUGUCAGAACAACUGGAGGGAUGACAACAAUGAGAGAUGAAAAAUGGACUUGGCCAGGUCUGGUUCUGGAUACUGCAACACUUAGUAAGACAAUAAAUAACAUCUACAGGAAUGUCCAGCUGAAGAGAAAAAGGUACCAUUGGCAUUACAUACUCCCAGGGCAACUAGUAUUUGGAAACAGCAAAGUUUUUGGAAUUCAGCACUGUUGCUUAAGUACUGCUGUGGGCUGAAAGAGGUGAGCUGUCCAUGAUGAAAAGGCAAGAACAGACUGAAUGAACAGGACAUUAAUAUUUUGACACCCUGUCAUGGGGUUCAGAUUUCAGUUUUACUAUUGUCUGUGUGUCUUGAAGAAUGGGAGGAACAAUUGUCUGCUUUUCUAUUACACCCACUGAGGUGAAGAUACGGAUUCUCAGCAUCUCUUAAAAUGGGGCCUAAGUUAUCAUCUAAGAAGGAAAAAAAAUGCUGCAAUAGCAUCAUUUAUUCACUGCAGCACUGAAACUGUUUUUCAAAAAAGACAUGAUCACGCCUUAUAAUAAGCAAAGAAUAUAUAGAGAGAUGCCUAUAUAAAAAGCUCAGUUCAGUAACUGUGGGCAGGUUUCAGGAGAUCUAAUGGAGACACGUUUUAACCAAAGCAAAUUAAAUCCUUUCUGAGCAAACAAGCAAGUGCAGUUGGGUUCAUAUCUAUUAAAUAAUUGAAGCAUUUGGCUCACGGUGUCAUAUUUACACACCAAAAUUAAACACUUAUGAGCACUAUUCGGUAGAGAGUUUCUUUACUCAGAAAGGAGCUCUUGGGAAUCACAGGUCAGCCAUAGAAUAUGCCAAAAGGCAGCUAUUUCUCCGGACUUGCCACUUCGCUAUAUGUGUCUUUAUUAAGUUAGGAGUUUCCCACCUCAACUGCGGUGCAGCAAUCUGUUUCCAUCUAUCUUUUGUUUGGCAGAUAUUGGGUUGGGCACUUGCCUGAGGAACAGGGUGGCCUUAUUGAAUUAAUUCCACAGAGUAAGAGUUGAAAAAUACAUGUAUUACUUUCCUAGCUAGAAGAGUUAGAGGUAAAUCAUUCUUUUACAACUGAUUUUUUUUUUUUUGUAUAGAAGAAGUAUAUAAGAUUCAUUAAUUCCCAAGAGACUGUAAGCAGAGGGAUCAUGACUUCCCAGCUGUGUGAGGAAUGUACUCCCAUGGAGCUGUUAUAUCAGUAACAAGAAUAUCCACAAUUACAGCACCUUUGGCUAAGAUAAGCAUUAUGUUUUGGAGGCUGGACCACUCUUCAGUUAUGAAGGAGGAAGUCUAUACUGUGGUUCAAAAGCACCAUUACAAAUAUAAUGUUGACUUGCUGUCUGUUGAACUAAGUCCAGUAUCACAGUUUAACUGUAGCAGCGUUUAAGCUCAUUCCAAGAUUUGAGCAUGUUUUGCUGAAAUCAGUGCUGCUGUGAGCUAGAAGGCAGUUAUUUCUCAUUUUGCCUGCUCUUGAGCCCUUAAAAAAUCCUGAAUAUUCCAGUAUUGAUAGCCCCUAGAUAUAUGGUGCUCAACUUUGUCCAUUUUGUGUCUGACCCCCUCUGUACAGUGCAGUUUUCCUCUGAGGGAAGCUGGCUGUGAAUGGUUACGUUGAGUUACACCUUCUGCAAAUCAGAAGUAAACAAGAGGCUGGAUUUAUGCAUUUGCCCUGUCCAAAUUUGAAUCUAUCUCAGCUUCUUGGCCAAUUUGAAACAAUGACUAAACAAAGAAAAAAACAAAACAAACCACCAUAAACUUGAACUCUUGUUGUCUUGCCACUGUUUAAUUGAGGGUUGACAAGAAAAUUUAGUGCUACAUCUGUGGCAGUGUUAAACUGCAGUUAUUAGGAACUUUUGCAGCAAUGCGUAUGCUUUCUCUUGUUCACUUUCACACUGAGCUAUAAAGUUUCACUACAGCAUUCUUUUCCAGGUUGCUGCUGUAUUCUCAUCAUUAAUCAUUGAGUGAAAUUUUGUUUCUGCUGUGUCUUCUGUACUGUUUUCAAAGUUUUGUUUUUAUUUCCCAAGCACUGCUUUCAUCCUGCCUUGAAUCAUUUACUGUUUUUCAGUUAAUCCACUCUAGUGGAGUGGCAAAUAAGACUGUCCCCAAAGACAUGCCUGCUGCUGACUAUUCUACAAGUCCAGCUACAGGAGAAGCAAAGGCCUCUGCUACAGGCACAAGUGUCCUAAAAGUCAGAUGCAGAAAUUCUUCUGGAAGAGAUACCACCCAGUUUCGGACUAGCAUACUUGGAAAAUACCUACAGAGCUGAAGACCUGAAUGCACAGGUUGAACUGGACUGUGCUUAUGGCCAGCAGGCAACCUAUGUCCACAAGGGGAAUGAAUCCAGGCAGUUUUCUUUGACAUAAAAAGGAAGAAGACUGAAUGUCUGUGGUAACUGAACUAUCCAAAUCACCUUAAUCAGUAGCCUCACUUGAGCACAGGAUAAAUGAUGCAAAACAGGCCAGAUUUAUACUUAAGGUUGAUAAUAACUAAUAAUUCAGAUUCUAGAAGUUUUAAAUAUCUAUAAAAUCAAAAGAAUUGACAAUGAGAAAAAUAUGUUUUUUUACUAAAAUAUUUCCACAUAUGUUUCAUGGAUAAAUACCAGCUUAUUAUUAACUUUAGCAUAUCAAAAUAAACAUGCUGAGUGAUUUUUCUCAGCCUCUGAUAAUACUGAGGUGGAAUAUAAAUAUUUCAGCAGUCCAAGCUCCCACAAAAGCAGUAGAAAAUCAUAGGCAUCUAACAUCUCACCAUUCACACUGCUUCCUGGGUAUGCUAAGGAAUUCCUUUGGCUUUUUCUUCCAAGCUGAGAUGAUGAGACUGGACAGGAAUUACUAUUACUUUAGUGGCAGAUUAAUAAGAAAUUAUGUGGAAAACAUUAAAAGCGUUUGGCAUUUAUACCAGUCUGUAAUAAUACUCAAUGGUGGUCAUUCUCUUGAAGGGGAUAAAUGCUUCAAUAAUGCUUAAUGUUCAGUUUGCAGUCAUUCUUCUGGAAUAGCAGAAACUCAAAAAUACAAUUAUGAAUCUAACUUGUCUGAUGACCGUUUAAAUUCCAUUAAUAGUGGACUUAGCUGCUGUAAGAAUUUCUUAUUCUUACUGCAAUUUUUCUGUUUUGAAACAUAUAGAAAGACUAGGUUUAAGUUAUAAACAGUACAGUAAUUCAUAUUGCUUACACCCUCUGGUUGGGGACUUGUAAUUUCAUAGUUAAUGACUUCAUUGUAAGAACAGUAAGAGAAACAGAAGAUGAUAGAAUGAUUUCAGCUUCUUUAGCCUUGAAGAGCAUUAUGAAAUAUAAAGCAAGGAAAGUUAGUGAAUCUAGUGCUGCAUAAGAAGAUUGUAAGCAUACCCCUGCCUGUGAAGCUUUCAUAUUCAGUCUUUUUGUGAUUCUAUUCUGAAAAUAGUAAGAGCUGCUACUAGAUUUUAAUUCUCAUAAGUGCCCAAUAUUUACACUUCAUAAAAACAGAAGGAGAAUAUGACUUCAAAAGAUCAUCUGUUAGUACCCCAUUUUCUGCCAUAUUUUUGACUCUGUGUCCUGAGUGCAGAAUAACUCAAUUUAGCUGAUCACUAAUUUUUGUUAAUGACACUUUUUGUUUAAGUGCCUGGAGUUGGUUACUGGUCUUAUCUGAUAAGAUAAACACAUUCUUUAAAAUGUUUUAAGAUAAUAAUUACCUCAAUUAAUAGUUAUAUUUACAAUGCCUAUCGGGCCCUGUGCACAAAUCUACCCGGAAACUAACUACAACUACCUGUGAAAGAAAUGAAUGGAAAAAGAUUAAAUACAUUAUUAAAUACAAACCUGAGGAUAUUGGUCAGUGAGGUACAUUUACACACACUCUAACAUUUUAGAUAUUUAUCUUAGCAGAUACUUUUUUAGAAAACUGUGAUGUGUACAAUGCUUCAUUGAUGAUACACUUUUGACAAUGCUGUCAUUAGUGCUGUUUUAAAACAUGGAGAAAACUGUUACAGCUAAUGACAUUGAAUUCCCCAGCCUUUUAUUUAGGAAAGAAAAUCAGUAGCCUGUGUGGAAUCUGCAUGGUAGAAAAGAGGAAAAUAAUAUUAAAAAAAAUCUGCAGUGGAAAAGUGAAAUAUUAUGAAGUCUGCUUUUUAUUUAUGAUCUAAAAGAAAUUACUCUGCCUGUUAGAUGGUUAGGUUGAUAUAAUGAUUUUUUUAGGGAGCAUAGUAUUAUUCAUGAAAUGUCUGCUAACUGGAGAACCAUUCAGGAACCUGGCUUGUAUAAGAAAGUGUUGUCAGCAGUAGCAGGACAGUGAUCGUUGGCCUGUACUUUGCUGGUGAGCAUGGUUGGUGAGGUUGCAGCUAGAGUACUGUGUUCGGUUUUGGACCCCUUGUUGAAGAAAGAAAUUGAGGUUUCUGAGCAUGUCAGGGGAAGGGCAACAAAGUUGGUGAAGGGUCUGGAGUGGCUGAGGGAGCUGGGAUUGUUCAGUCUAGAGAAGAGGGGGUUCAGGGGAGACCUCACUGUCCUCUACAACUACUUGAAAGGAAGGAGACGGUGGUGACAUUGGCUUCUUCUGCAUAACUAGUGGUAGUGGUAGUGGUAACUAGUGGAAUGGCCUCAAGAUGUACCAGGAGAGGUUCAGAUUGGACAUCAGGAAAAAAAUUUUUCUCCAAAAGAGUGAUCAGGUGCUGGCACAGGCUGCCCAGGAAGGUGGUGGAGUCACCAUCCCGGGAGGUGCUCAAGAAACAUCUAGAUCCUCAAGGAUGGGGAGGGCUGGGAGAGGGUCCAUGCUCCAUAUUCUUGGCAAAUCACCCUCCACCACCCCCCACCUACCUUGUGUUCCCAGGUCCCCCUAAGCAAUAGGUUUGCAGCAUUGGACACUGAAGGGGGGGUAUGUGAGAAGGCACAGGAAGGCUCCCCUAAGAGCUUACAAAGGGCAAGACAGUCUACUCCACAUGCUGAGACUGUCUCUGCCAGGAAAGACAGAAGGGUGGUUGUGGUAGGUGACUCCCUUCUCAGAGGAACAGAAGGUCCCAUUUGCAGACCAGACCCAAGCCGUAGGAAAGUGUGCUGCCUUCCUGGUGCCCAGGUCAGGGACAUAACUAGAAAACUCCUGAAAAUGGUUCACUCUACCAAUUACUUCCCAUUGCUCAUAGUUCAGGUGGCCAGUGAUAAAAUCGCUCAGAGAAGCCCAUGAACUAUGAAAAGAGAUUUCAGGGGUUUAGGGUGAAUAGUUCAAUGAGCAGGAGCCAUAUGGUGUUUUGUUCUAUACCUCUGGGGCUGUAAAGGACAUGCAGUGGGCUAGGAAAACACAGGUAAUGAAUAAUUGGCUCAGAGGCUGGUGUCAAGGCAGGAAUUUGGGGGUUUUUGACCAUGGGGCAGUUUAUUCAGCCCCUGGCCUGUUGUCCACGGAUGGAACUCACCUGUCUCAAAUGAGUCCUAGUGCAGGAGCUAGCAGGGCUUAUUGAGAGAGCUUUGAACUAGCUAUAUGGGGGAAGGGGACAAAACAGGGCUCACCAGAGAUGAGCCUAGGGGAACAGUGCUGAAACUGGAGGUGAGGCAGGUGUCUCAUCUGAAGUGCACCUACGCCAAUGCAUGCAGCAUGGGCAACAAACAGGAGGAGCUGUUUAGCUGCAGGCUAACUAUGACCUAGUUGCUAUUACUGAAACAUGGUGGGACCACCCCAUGACUGGAGUGCUGUGAUGGAUGGCUACAAGCUCUUCAGAAGGGAUAGACAAGGAAGGAAGGCUAGCCGGUGAUGUGGCUCUUUAUAUUAAAGAAUGUUUUGAUGUUGAAGAGCUUGGGGUUGGGAAUGAUAAAGUUGAGUGUCUAUGGAUAAGGCCUGUAGGGGUGACAUCUUGGCGGGGGGGGGUCUGUUAUAGACCAUCUAAUCAGGAUAAAGAGAUGGAUGAGUCAUUCUAUGAGCAGCUUGUGGAAGUUGCACAAUUGCCAGCACUCGUUCUCAUAGGUAACUUCAACUUCCUUGAUAUAUGCUGGAAAUAUAAUACAGUGCAGAGGAAGCAGUCCAGAAGGCUUCUAGAGUAUGUGGAAUAUAGCUUCCUUGCAAAGCUGGUACGAGAGCCUACCAGGGUGGUGCCCUGCUAGAUCUGCUCUUCACUAACAGAGAAGGACUGGUGGGAGAUGUGAGGGUUGAGGACUGUCUUAGGCAGAGUCACCAUGAAAUUACAGAGUUCCUGUAGCAAUUGGACAGAUCAGUAUGAUGGGAAAGGUGUUACAACAAAGGUGUGAUGAUGGAAGGACUGGUCACAACACCCCCAGGCAACCCUACAGGCUUCGGGAGGAGUACCCAGAAAACUGCCUGAUGGAAAGGGACCUUAGCGUACUGAUGGACGGUCAGCUGAAGAUGAGCCAGCAGUGUUCCCACGUGGCCAAGAAGGCCACUGGCAUCCUGGCUUGUAUCAGGAACGGUAUGGUGAGCAAGACUAGGGAAGUAACCCUGCUUCUGUACUGAACACUGCUGAGGCCCCACCCUGAGUGCUGUGUUCAGUUUUGGGCACCUCAGUACAGAAAGGAAAUGGAGGUGCUGGAGCAGGUCCAAAGAAGGGCAACAAGGCUUGUGAAAGGCUUGGAGAAUAUGCCCUAUGAGGUGCGACUGAAGGAACUGGGGCUGUCUAGUCUGGGGAAGAGGAGGCUGAGGGGAGACUCUAUUGCUCUCUUUAAAUACCUGAAAGGUGAUAGCAGCAAGAGUGGGGUUGGUCUCUUCACACUGGUGACAGGAUGAGGGGAAACGGCUUCAAGUUACGCAAGGGGAGGCUUAGGUUGGAUAUCAGGAAAAAUUUCUUUACAGAAAGGGUUGUUAAACACUGGAAUAGGCUCCCCAGGGAAGUUGUGGAGUCACCAUCCCUGGAUGUGUUUAAAAACCAUUUGGAUGUGGUACUCAGGGACAUGAUUUAGCAGAGGGUUGUUAGAAUUAGGAUAGUAUGGCUAGGUUGCAGUUGGAUUUGAUUAUCUUUUAAGGCCCUUUCCAAUCUGAGUAAUUCUAUGAUAGAAAAGUGCUAUAAAUGAAGGGAAGAAGGUUGCUCACUUGUAUCGGAAGACUCUAGGUUCUCACAGGAAAGCUUCACCAAGGAGGCAUCUGUAGAAAGAGAUCCCUUCCCAGUGGCAGUCAGCCCUUAAAUGAGGUCUAAGAGAGGUGCAGCCAGGCUCCACCCCUUCUUGUUGCACGGAUGAAUUGCCUUCACCUGUGCUCCCAGGGCUGACUGGGUCCUUUCCCCACGUGCUCAAUCAGUGAUUCAGGCUGUGACUCAACAGUUCCCAUACAGUUCUUUAUUCUUGGUGAUGUCAGAAGGGUGCCUAGCAAAACAACUGUCUUGAACUUCCAGAGGGUGGACAUUGACCUGUUCAGGACACUUGUUAAAGGGUCCCUUGGGAGUUGCUCCUGAAGGGUAAAGGGGUCCAGGAAGCCUGGGUGCUCCUCAAGAUGGUAAUCUUAAAGGCACAAGAACAGGCUGUUUCUGAGUGCCAUAUGGCAAACUGUAGGGGAAGAAGGCCCUGUGGAUGAACUAGGAACCAUUGUUGAGACUCUGGGAGAAAAAGAGAGUCUACAUUCUCUGGAAGAAGGGACAGGCUACUUGGGGGAGACUACAAAGAAGUUGCUAAGAUAUGUAGGGAGGAAGCUAGAAAGGCAAAGGCCUGGCUUGAACUCAGACUGGCCACUGCCAUAAAAGAGAACAAGAAAUCCUUUAACAGAUGUAUUAAUGGUAAGAGAAGAACCAAGGAGAAUUUCCAUCCUUUACUUGAUGCAGCAGGGAAUGUGACCACUGUGGAUAAGGAGGAGGCUGAGGUCCUCAGUGCCUUCUUUACGUCUGCCUUUAAUAGUCUGAUCAGUUAUCCUCAGGGCACUUUACACCCUGACCUGGAGGUCUGGGAUGGAAUGCAGAAUACACCCCUGGUGAUUCAGGAAGAGACAGAGAGCUGUUCCUCCAUCUGGACUGUCACAAGUCCAUGGGACUGGAUAUGCUCCACCCUAGGGUGCUGAGGGAGUUGGUGAUUGCUGAGCCACCUUCCACCAUCUAUCAGUGUUCCUGGUUAUCUGGAGAGGUUCCAGAGGAUUGGAGGCUUGCCGAUUAGACUCCUAUUUAAAGGAGGGACGUAAGGAGGAUCUGGGGAACUAGAGGCCUGUCAGCCUCACCUCCGUACCAGGAAAGUUGUGGAGCAAAUCACCUUGGGUGAGAUCACAUGGCACGUGCAUAGCAUCCAGGGGAUCAGGUCCAGACAGCAUGGGUUCAUGAAAGGCAGGUCAUGCUUGACCAACCUCAUCUCCUUCUAUGACCUUGUGACCAGACUAGUAGAUGAGGGAAAGGCUGCUGAUGUAGUCUACCUAGACUUCAGCAAAGCCUUUGAUACAGUCUCUCACAGUAUUCUCCUGGGCAAACUGGCUGCCAAUGACCUGGACAGGUAUACCCUUCUUUGGGUAAGGAACUGGCUAGAGGGCCAUGCCCAGUGGGUAGUAGUUAAUGGAGUUAAGUCCAGCUGGCGACCCAUUACAAGUGGUGCCCCCCAGGGGUCAGUACUGGGGCCCAUCUUGUUUAAUAUCUUUAUUGAUGACCUAGAUGAAGAGAUUGAGUGUACCCUCUGUAAAUUUGCAAAUGACACCAAGUUGGGAGGUAGUGUCGAUCUGCCUGAGGGUAGGGAAGCCCUUCAGAGGGAUCUGGAUAGGCUGAAUCGCUGGGAUGAGGUUCAACAAGGACAAGUGCCAGGUCCUGCACUUUGGCCACAAUAACUCCGUGCAACACUAUAGGCUAGGGGCAGACUGGCUAGAUGACUGUGAAGAGGAAAGGGACCUGGGGGUGUUGAUUGAUGCUCAGCUGAGAAUGAGCCAGCAGUGUGCUCAGGUGCUCAAGAGGGCCAAUGCAAUCCUGGCCUGCAUUAGAAAUAGUGUAACCAGCAGGAGCAGAGAGGUAAUCAUCUCCCCGUACUCAGCUCUGGUGAGGCUGCAGCUAGACUACUGUGUUCAGUUUUGGGCCCCUCACUACAAGAAAGACAUUGAGGUCCUGGAACAUGUACAAUAACAUUGUACAUAGAGGAAGUGGACCUGGGGGUAUUGAUUGAUGCUAGACUGAACAUGAGCCAGCAGUGUGCCCAGGUGGCCAAGAAGGCCAAUGGCAUCCUGACUUGUAUCAGAAAUAGUGUUGCCAGCAGGAACAGGGAAACAAUUGUUCCCCUGUACUCAGCACUGGUGAGGCUGCACCUUGAGUACUGUGUACAGUUU
ensembl:lncRNA